rnacentral:rRNA from 1 species
CCAAUAGCGUAUAUUAAAGUUGUUGCAGUUAAAAAGCUCGUAGUUGAAUUUCAGGCCUGGCUGGACGGUCCGCCCUUCGGGUGAGUACUGUCUGUGGUCGGGUCCUACCUUCUGGCGAAGCGUCAUGGCCUUAACCGGCCGUGGCGGGGAACCAGGACUUUUACUGUGAAAAAAUUAGAGUGUUCAAAGCAGGCAAUCGCUUGGAUACAUUAGCAUGGAAUAAUGGAAUAGGACAAUGGUUCUAUUUGUUGGUUUCUAGGAUUGACGUAAUGAUUAAUAGGGAUAGUUGGGGGCAUUAGUAUUCAAUUGUCAGAGGUGAAAUUCUUGGAUUUAUUGAAGACUAACUACUGCGAAAGCAUUUGCCAAGGAUGUUUUCAUUAAUCAAGAACGAAAGUUAGGGGAUCGAAGACGAUCAGAUACCGUCGUAGUCUUAACCAUAAACUAUGCCGACUAGGGAUCGGAUGAUGUUAAUUUUUUAAUGACUCAUUCGGCGCCUUACG